GCAAACUUGGUCAUUUAGAGGAAGUAAAAGUCGUAACAAGGUUUCCGUAGGUACGUAAAUCUUUUUCAUUUUUCCCUCUUUCCCUGUGAAGCUUUUAACUAACGUUUUCUCUUUAGGUGAACCUGCGGAAGGAUCAUUAUCGAGUUAGGGUCCAUCAGGGCCCAACCUCCUACCCUUGUGUUAACUAUACCACGUUGCUUCGGCGGGCCUGUUCUCUCUUACAGGGAGAACUCCCGGGCUUUGAUAAGCCUGGUCCGUGCCCGUCGGUGGCCAACCUUUAAACUCUUGAUAAACUGUGUUGUCUGAGUUACAAAAACAAAAAUUUAAAUAAAACUUUCAACAACGGAUCUCUUGGUUCUGGCAUCGAUGAAGAACGCAGC
rnacentral:misc_RNA from 1 species